rnacentral:rRNA from 1 species
GACGAACUGUCCUAACGUUGUUCGGAAUCACUGGGCUUAAAGGGCGCGUGGGCGGUCCGACAAGUCAGGGGUGAAAUCCUGCAGCUUAACUGCAGAAGUGCCUUUGAUACUGAGGAUCUUGAGUUCGGGAGAGGUGAGUGGAACUGCGAGUGUAGAGGUGAAAUUCGUAGAUAUUCGCAAGAACACCAGUGGCGAAGGCGGCUCACUGGCCCGAUACUGACGCUGAGGCACGAAAGCGUGGGGAGCAAACAGG